GAACAGAAAAGGACGUCAUAACUCCACCUUACAUCUGAUUGUUUUAGCAGAUAAAACAACAAUGAUAAUAAAUAUCAUCAGGUUGACUCUGGUGGUUGUGAUGCUGAUUCCUCUGCUUCUGGUUUGUCUGUGGAUGAGGAAGAAGAAAACUCUGAGCUCCACCACUGAACCAAAUGAACCCAUAGAGACAUUAGAGUUGGAGUCUGAUCCUGAUUGUAGCAACGCCUCAGCCUUGAACCAAAACUGUAACCAGAGGGACUCACCUGGAUGGAAACAGAGAGAAGUACAGCAUUGAAGUAGUCAGUGGAGAACAGGGGGCUGUGGAGGAUGAGGAUACAUUUACCUUUAACUGCAAACAUUUUCAUUUUUAGUUUUCAUUAGCAGCAGCAGGUAGACGUCAGCAGCAGCAUGUAGCACAAGAUUAGAGUAGAAUGUAAGCGUCAUUGUUACCUGUGCAGGUACAUUACAUAAGUUCAGGAUUUUACUCAGUAUACAAAAUGUUAUUUCAAAAUGGAAUGUAAUAAAUUGCUUUUAAGAAACACUGGUUGUCCUUUCACAUCACACCUGUGCUGGUAAUGAAAGCCAAUAACGUCUGAUCAAAACAAACAUGUAGAACUGGAAGCUAAGUAUUUCACAGCAUGUACAGUCUAUGUUUAAACACUGAAAUCAAACAGAAGCCCAGCUCUGUCACACUUUGCUAGUUGUAUCAUUUUCAAUGUGUUGCAGUGGCUGAUUGAAAUAAACAGCCAGCUUCCACAACAA